rnacentral:rRNA from 1 species
AGGACGAACGCUGGCGGCACGCCUAACACAUGCAAGUCGAACGGAGAAUUGAGAGCUUGCUCUUGAUUCUAGUGGCGGACGGGUGAGUAACACGUGAGCAACCUGCCUCUGAGAGAGGGAUAGCUUCUGGAAACGGAUGGUAAUACCUCAUAACAUAGUGAAGCCGCAUGACUUUACUAUCAAAGAUUUAUCACUCAGAGAUGGGCUCGCGUCUGAUUAGGUAGUUGGUGAGGUAACGGCUCACCAAGCCGACGAUCAGUAGCCGGACUGAGAGGUUGAACGGCCACAUUGGGACUGAGACACGGCCCAGACUCCUACGGGAGGCAGCAGUGAGGGAUAUUGCACAAUGGAGGAAACUCUGAAUGCAGCGAUGCCGCGUGGAGGAAGAAGGUUUUCGGAUUGUAAACUCCUGUUUCGAGGGACGAUAAUGACGGUACCUCGGGAGGAAGCUCCGGCUAACUACGUGCCAGCCGCUGC